rnacentral:misc_RNA from 1 species
UUGGGAACAAAACAUCUACAACUUAUUAGUGAAUACUACCUUCUAACAAUCAUACAAUCUUUAACAUCUCAAAGCUAGAAAUCACCAAGGGAUGCUGUAUGAAACUAUUACGUACACAUAUGCUGUAUUGUAGAUCCAUAGAAUGGUCAUCUUUGCAAAGCAGAAUAGCAGAUAUGUGUAGGAUAGGACAAACUGAGGAUAUAAUUUAAGCUCUUGGAUAGCGAGAG